CUUAAUACAUGCAAGUCGAGGGGUAGUAAGUAGCAAUAUUUAUGAGACCGGCGCACGGGUGCGUAACACGUAUGCAACCUACCUUUUACUGGGGCAUAGCUCAGAGAAAUCUGAAUUAAUUCCCCAUAACACUGCAGAUCGGCAUCUUUCAGCAGUUAAAGCUCCGGCGGUAAAAGAUGGGCAUGCGGAACAUUAGCUAGUUGGUGAGGUAAUGGCUCACCAAGGCUACGAUGUUUAGGGGGUCUGAGAGGAUUAUCCCCCACACUGGUACUGAGACACGGACCAGACUCCUACGGGAGGCAGCAGUAAGGAAUAUUGGUCAAUGGGCGCAAGCCUGAACCAGCCAUGCCGCGUGCAGGAUGACGGUCCUAUGGAUUGUAAACUGCUUUUAUACAGGAAGAAACACUGGUUCGUGAACCAGCUUGACGGUACUGUAAGAAUAAGGAUCGGCUAACUCCGUGCCAGCAGCCGCGGUAAUACGGAGGAUCCAAGCGUUAUCCGGAAUCAUUGGGUUUAAAGGGUCCGUAGGCGGUUUGGUAAGUCAGUGGUGAAAGCCCAUCGCUCAACGGUGGAACGGCCAUUGAUACUGCCAGACUUGAAUUACUGGGAAGUAACUAGAAUAUGUAGUGUAGCGGUGAAAUGCUUAGAGAUUACAUGGAAUACCAAUUGCGAAGGCAGGUUACUACCAGUGGAUUGACGCUGAUGGACGAAAGCGUGGGUAGCGAACAGGAUUAGAUACCCUGGUAGUCCACGCCGUAAACGAUGGAUACUAGCUGUUGGAGGUAACUUCAGUGGCUAAGCGAAAGUGAUAAGUAUCCCACCUGGGGAGUACGAACGCAAGUUUGAAACUCAAAGGAAUUGACGGGGGCCCGCACAAGCGGUGGAGCAUGUGGUUUAAUUCGAUGAUACGCGAGGAACCUUACCAAGGCUUAAAUGUAGAUUGACCGAUUUGGAAAC
rnacentral:rRNA from 1 species